rnacentral:sRNA from 1 species
GAGCUGAAGUUCUUCAAUCGUUGUGUGC